UUUGAAUGGGACUGUAAUAUUUCUCGUGAGUUUAAUAUUACUCGAAAGUUCUUGGCUGCGAAUGAGCAUCGUAAAAAUAAAGGAAUCUCGAUACCAGAGGGAUAAAGUGUGUAACAGCUGACUAACUGAACUUAGACCUUCUAGUAUUUUCUACGUACCAUAUGUUUUUCAAGUAAAAUGGCGUCAGUUGUAGACCGCAUCACGUUACUGUCAAUAUUAUAUUUUCCGGUAUCAAAAAAUGGAGCAUGGAUAUUCGCCAGGAGAAAAUUUGCCAGUCACAGUAAUCGUACGAAGACCAUGUUGUAAGGCCAAGAACAUUGUGGACAUAUGUGCGCCUCCCGUUUCUCCAAAGGCAAAUAACUGUUAAGUUUCCAUGAGAUAAAUAUUACGCUCCAAAAAUAGUACGUGGUAACCUCUGUAUCUCAUAGGGUUUGAAUAAAAGCUGUGUUAUAAUGUA